rnacentral:rRNA from 1 species
CCUACGGGUGGCAGCAGUGGGGGAUAUUUCACAAUGGGGGACACCCUGCUGCCGCGACGCCGCGUGUGGGAAGACGGUCUUCUGGAUUGUCCACCACUGUCCCCAGGGACGAAAAUGACGGUACCUGGGGAGGAAGCUCCGGCUAACUACGUGCCAGCAGCCGCGGUAAUACGUAGGGAGCAAGCGUUGUCCGGAAUUACUGGGUGUAAAGGGAGCGUCGGCGGGGAUGCAAGUUGGGUGUCAAAACUACCGGCUCAACCGAUAGUCGCACUCAAAACUGCAGCUCUUGAGUGAAGUAGAGGCAGGCGGAAUUCCUAGUGUAGCGGUGAAAUGCGGAGAUAGUAGGAGGAACACCAGUGGCGAAGGCGGCCUGCUGGGCUUUUACUGACGCUGAGGCUCGAAAGUGUGGGGAGCAAACAGGAGUAGAUACCCGAGUAGUC